rnacentral:rRNA from 1 species
UACGAAGGGGGCUAGCGUUGUUCGGAAUUACUGGGCGUAAAGGGCGCGUAGGUGGCUUGUCAAGUUGGGGGUGAAAGCCCAGGGCUCAACCCUGGAAUUGCACUCGAGACUGCUUUGCUUGAAUUCGGGAGAGGUUGGUGGAAUUCCCAGUGUAGAGGUGAAAUUCGUAGAGAUUGGGAAGAACACCCGUGGCGAAGGCGGCCGACUGGACCGACAUUGACACUGAGGCGCGAAAGCGUGGGGAUCAAACAGG